GGAGCUAUAGCUCAGUGGCAGAGCACUUGCCUAGCAUGCAUAAGACACUGGGUUCAAUUCUUAGCACCA
rnacentral:tRNA from 1 species